GUUUUCCAGAAUCGCUACACCGUCCAGCCAGGCCAGUCCACCUGUCAGUGCACAGCUGAUCUGGGUUGAUCUGUCUACUGCAACUGUAGCCCAUGGAGAAUCCCACAUUUCCAUAAGCACUGCAAAAAAUGUGACAGAAAGGGACUUGCCUGACGACUUCCACGACAAUGCUGAGCACGUUGAAAUUGAGGGGGUCUUCUUUGAGCUUCCUCGCCUCAGUGAUGCAGAUAGCAAUGACAAAGAUGGUCAGGUAGGAGAGUUGUGACAGAACCGUGCUCUUGAUCAAUUUGAUCCCCAGCUGGCUCUGCUUGGGAUGAUGAUCCUUUGUGCUGGAGGUCUCUUCAAAUGGAAACCAUGUCGUGUACGGAGGUAGAUACCUGGAAGCAAGCAGAAUCAGAAUGUGAGACAACCAAGACGAUAAGCCUACAAAGAAUGCACUAACUAAUACAGUUUUAUCUUUACCAUAUUUCUGCUUUCUUGGAAUAUACUACAGGUGCGUGCAUGCAUACGACUGGUGUAUUUUCAGACAUGUUCUAUGAAUACCAAAAGUAGAGCGCAAUUAAGGAUAACAGUUUGAAGCUGAUCUGCUUGUCUAAAAUUGCAUCUUUUUAAGAUGACGUGCAAGAACAAAUGUGGUGGCUGACUGGCCGGGUGUAUCAUUCUCAGUAGCUGAUGGGAUGGCGCGAGGAGAAGUUGGAAACGGUGGCAUCUGUUCUGAUUCGCAGCUUAUGGCCUCGUUGUGUCGUGGACCACUGAUAUAUACGGAGUAACAUGAAUGGUCUCCAGAGAAGAAUUGGAGAACACGAACGACAGACACUGGUCGGUGGGAAAAUUCCGGUGCCAACUGACGUGAAGAUGGUUGGCCGGAGAGCAGAGAUGGGCCGAAAUUCGUACUCGUUAGGGAUGCAAUCCCGCGAAAGUCCCGCUUUUAGUUCAUUUUUCAAAUCUUCUAUUCAAAAUUUUGUUUAGAAUUUGAAUAAGAGAUUUGAGAAUUGAACUAGAAGCAGGACUUUCGCGGGAUCCCAUUUGCACCCUUAGUACUGGUGUCAAUUAUAUAUAUACUAAUUCCCUCCGUU